UGGCGGGCUAUGACAGCUUCACCGUCAAGGGCAUACCCGUUGCCCAGGACACCGCUCUGGUACAACUCGGCGUCAGUGCCAAACUGGCCCCGCAAGCCA
rnacentral:tRNA from 1 species